CUAUAUAUGCAAGGGAUGGUAAUUAUAUUGAUUACUCUGUAAAUGUUGAGUAUUGUUCACUCAUGCUUAAUUUAUCGAUAGAUGAUUGAUGCGCAAAAAGUAGUGUAGCAUAUGUUUAAAGUGCAGUUAGUACACAUGUUGGGAAGAUGAUAUUAUGAUCAACUGUUCACUUUUCUGCUUGUACGUUCAGUAAUUUUACCUUGUUGUUCGUUCUCGUUCACAACGGUGAAAGACAAUACUGCAGGCAUUAUUGUUGUAAUUCUAUAUACUAAUACAUAAUUAUUAGCUAGGUGAUUGCAUAUUAUAGUCAGGAUCACUUAUUAGUAAGAAUAAUGAUGCUUGUUCUUGAUUUAGUUAAAAAGGCAAAUAUGUGAUGUUGUUACAAUGCGACCAUACGCGUAUAUAGUGAUAAGUUCUUUUACCUGUUGCAAGGCCGUAGUGAGUUAGUGACAAGUUUGAUACCUAAAUUUUAAGCCAUAAAUUUCUAUUUUCAUAUAACACUUUGAGAGGUCACGGGUGAGUAAUCAUAUGUAUAGUUACGUUAGGAAUGAUCGGACUUGGGAGGAAGAGUUGAUAAGAUACCAAUCUAUACUACAGCAAGGAAAUUCAUAAUAUGUUGUUCAAUUCCUUUGAAACUUCUGUUGCAUGAUGACUUAAUAUGGUGUCCAAUUAGGACUUGCAGUUCUAAUAGAACUUGAGCGUUGAAUUCUACUAUGUGUAGAACUUCUACUUUGCAUAUACGAGGGUCUUGGGGUGGAGCCUUUAGAAAUCAAUCAAGUCCAGGGCAAACACAAGGUCUCAUCAAAAGCUCGUGAGAGGCAAUUAGGAACGCUCAAAAGGGAUAUGCUAGAUAGUUCUAUAGUACUAUAUUCUUGUAUGAGGCAAGAAUCAAAGGGUCCUAGAGGGUCGAGUAGGGUUGUGAGGGAGUGACAAUCACUAUAUUCUUGUCUUGUGCUUAAACAAUUCGCGGUCGGCUUCGUCAAAAGCCUAUUCUCUUGUCGCGGUUGCUUCGACUUCAUCAGUUGGGGUUUUCUACGAGAUUCAUAUAUUUGUUCUUGAUAUGGUGCAAACUCAUGUCGUACUCGCAAUAUAUAUCUUUUCUAUAUCGGGGGGUGCUGCGUAUAACAAGGGUAUCACAUUCUACCAACUUCAUUUGCCUAGAUUCAUUACUUCGGGUCACAAGUCCUACAUAGAAUCAUGAAUAUGUUAGGCUUUCUAUCAUAACCAAUGUUCUCAAGUUGACAAAUCGAGUCGAAUUGCUUAUCACGGAGUAAUCAAUUUGGACGAGUGUCGGUUAUUUGUCGAAUAGUUGAUGCUACCCGGUGGGUCAGCGUAGGUCCAUAUAUAUAUAACCACUAGGCCAUGUAUACUACGUCUGUCAUAUAGUGU
rnacentral:lncRNA from 1 species